UACGUAGGGGGCUAGCGUUGUCCGGAUUUAUUGGGCGUAAAGAGCUCGUAGGCGGUUUGUCGCGUCUGCUGUGAAAACUGGAGGCUCAACCUCCAGCCUGCAGUGGGUACGGGCAAACUAGAGUGCGGUAGGGGAGAUUGGAAUUCCUGGUGUAGCGGUGGAAUGCGCAGAUAUCAGGAGGAACACCGAUGGCGAAGGCAGAUCUCUGGGCCGUAACUGACGCUGAGGAGCGAAAGCAUGGGGAGCGAACAG
rnacentral:rRNA from 1 species